rnacentral:piRNA from 1 species
UACAAAUUUGGGAGACACUGACAUUUAGGCC